ensembl:processed_transcript
GACGCGUUCAUUCAGCGUCGAGUCUUCAGAGCUGAGGUGAGUCUUUGACGCUUUUUCUCGUGUUUACACAACAAUAAAACACACUUUACAGUUUAUUAAAGCGACAAUCUGCGACUAGUUUCUGCAUUGAGUUCACCUCUAUCUGUGUGUCUGCUGACCAAAACAAUACAGCAGGCAGAGAGGAGCUCUGAGAGGACAAUAUGAGUGAAUUGUAGAUGAAUCACAUUUCUCUGUUUGUUCUCCUGAAGCUCUGCCGCCAUCAGUGAAAGACAAAGACAGAGUUUAUUGAAGGACAGUGAGAAGAUGAGUGAUCCAGAACCCUGCAGAAUUAAACAGGAAGAGACUGAAGAACUAAUAGGUGUGCGUGUGAAGGAGGAGAGUGAAGAACUGAGUGAGGAUGAGGAGAAACAUCAAAUCAAAAGUGAAACUGAAACUCACACAAACGGUGAACAGAGUGUUCCGGUGAACCAAACAGCCGUGAAAAAAUUCACCUGCACUCAGUGUGGAAAGAGCUUUGGCUACAAAACCACUUACCAGCAUCACUUGAAGAUCCACACUGGAGAGAAGCCGUACGAGUGUUCAUACUGCGACAUGAGAUUCAUACGGCCUUCAGAUCUGAAAACCCAUGAGCGGACUCACACCGGAGAGAAA